UACGAAGGGUGCAAGCGUUACUCGGAAUCACUGGGCGUAAAGCGUGCGUAGGCGGUUUCUUAAGUCUGUCGUGAAAGCCCUGGGCUCAACCUGGGAAUGGCGAUGGAUACUGGGAAGCUAGAGUGUGAUAGAGGAUGGUGGAAUUCCCGGUGUAGCGGUGAAAUGCGUAGAGAUCGGGAGGAACACCAGUGGCGAAGGCGGCCAUCUGGAUCAACACUGACGCUGAGGAGCGAAAGUGUGGGGAGCGAACAGG
rnacentral:rRNA from 1 species